CCUACGGGAGGCAGCAGUGGGGGAUAUUGCACAAUGGGGGAAACCCUGAUGCAGUGACGCCGCGUGGGCGAAGAAGUAUUUCGGUAUGUAAAGCCCUAUCAGCAGGGAAGAAGAAAUGACGGUACCUGAGUAAGAAGCACCGGCUAAAUACGUGCCAGCAGCCGCGGUAAUACGUAUGGUGCAAGCGUUAUCCGGAUUUACUGGGUGUAAAGGGAGCGCAGGCGGGACGGCAAGCCUGAUGUGAAAGCCAGCGGCCCAACCGCGGGACUGCAUUGGGAACUAACGGGCUGGAGUGCGGGGGAGGCAGGCGGAAUUCGUGGUGUAGCGGUGAAAUGCGUAGAUAUUAGGAGGAACACCAGUGGCGAAGGCGGCCUACUGGACGGUGACUGACGCUGAGGCUCGAAAGCGUGGGGAGCGAACAGGAUUAGAUACCCGUGUAGUC
rnacentral:rRNA from 1 species